rnacentral:tRNA from 2 species
GGGUGCUUAGCUCAGUUGGGAGAGCAUCGCCCUUACAAGGCGAGGGGCGGGGGUUCAAGUCCCUCAGCACCCACCA